UAGGGAAUCUUCCACAAUGGACGAAAGUCUGAUGGAGCAACGCCGCGUGAGUGAAGAAGGGUUUCGGCUCGUAAAACUCUGUUGUUAAAGAAGAACAUAUCUGAGAGUAACUGUUCAGGUAUUGACGGUAUUUAACCAGAAAGCCACGGCUAACUACGUGCCAGCAGCCGCGGUAAUACGUAGGUGGCAAGCGUUGUCCGGAUUUAUUGGGCGUAAAGCGAGCGCAGGCGGUUUUUUAAGUCUGAUGUGAAAGCCUUCGGCUCAACCGAAGAAGUGCAUCGGAAACUGGGCAACUUGAGUGCAGAAGAGGACAGUGGAACUCCAUGUGUAGCAGUGAAAUGCGUAGAUAUAUGGAAGAACACCAGUGGCGAAGGCGGCUGUCUGGUCUGUAACUGACGCUGAGGCUCGAAAGUAUGGGUAGCAAACAGG
rnacentral:rRNA from 1 species